ACACAUGCAGUCGAACGGUCUUUUAGGAGACAGUGGCGGACGGGUGAGUAACGCGUAAGAAUCUACCUUCAGGUUGGGGACAACCACUGGAAACGGUGGCUAAUACCGAAUGUGCCGAGAGGUGAGAGGCUUGCUGCCUGAAGAAGAGCUUGCGUCUGAUUAGCUAGUUGGUAGUGUAAGAGACUACCAAGGCGACGAUCAGUAGCUGGUCUGAGAGGAUGAUCAGCCACACUGGGACUGAGACACGGCCCAGACUCCUACGGGAGGCAGCAGUGGGGAAUUUUCCGCAACGGGCGAAAGCCUGACGGGAGCAAUACCGCGUGAGGGAGGAAGGCUCUUGGGUUGUAAACCUCUUUUCUCAGGGAAGACAGAAUGACGGUACCUGAGGAAUAAGCAUCGGCUAACUCCGUGCCAGCAGCCG
rnacentral:rRNA from 1 species